rnacentral:lncRNA from 1 species
CGGGCGUUCCCGUGGGCGGAAGAGAGGAGCGCGGGGGGCCGGUAGUUUUUACUUUUACUGUCGGUAAGCGGAUUCGUCGUCCCUCCAGUGACCCCGGCCACGGCCCGGGAAAGCAGGCCGGAGUGGCCCGGCCGUCCGGCCCCGCGGAGUCACCGCGACGAGCCGAGUCCCCGUCGUUACUCCCGGUUCCCCUCGCUCACACCCUCCCUUCUCCCCACCGCCCUCUGACACUGUCCUUGCAAACCCCUGAAUGCAGCCUCCUCCGAGUCCUCUGCACCUGAACCUGAGAGGAGAGGCUUCCGGCCGGGAGGAAUGCACAUCCUGUAGGAUUUCAAUCCAUUCCGAGAUGUCCACGCUCAUUUUUAGUCAGAAUAUCGGGUCUCUUGGCCGAUGUCACACGUGCUCCUGUCACAUGUGCAUCCUGCUUUGUUUGGGUGCAGUGCUGUGUCCCGCAGGUGGGUAGGGUUGUUCACGUCUUGAGCCUUACUGAUUUUCUGCCUGCUUACUCUGUAAAUUGCCGAGCAGCGUAUUGAGAUCUCCAGCCACGAGUGCGGAUGUGUUUCCCUUUUCAGUUCUAUCAACUUGGGAUUCGUAUAUUUUGAAACCAUUAUCUGGUCUAUACCCAUUUGGGAUUAAUAUGGAAGCCAGCCAGUUAAUUAGAUUUUGUCCAUGUGGAUUUUGUCAUCCUAAGAAGUGUGAGGCCCCUGAAGGCAGGAAUUGUGUAUUUUAUGUCUGUAUUCUUUGACCUAGCACUUCUCUCCAGUGAACACAUGCUUAAUUUGGGAAGCCUAUCCUGCAGCAGGAAUUAUAACAGGUGCUGGGUAUACAGUGGGAAAAUAGCACGUAUUUCCCCAUUCUUGGGAAGCUUACAGCACAUCAGGGUUAUAAAUAAAUACAUAUACAUUUAAUAUAUAAAUAUUAGCUUAAUAUUUAUAUAUUUAAUAUUUAUAUAAUUUAAUGUAUAAAUAAUAUAUAUAUACAUAUAUAUGUGUGUAUAUGUGUAUAUAUAUAAACACACACACACACACACACACACACACACACACACACAUAUAUAUCUCCCCAUAUUCAGAACAAAAGUCUAUUAGUCUGGGUUCUCCAGAGAAACAAUAUAGAUAGGUAAGUCAUAUUAUAAAUGAUAUAUUUAUAUAUAUAAAUAUGUGGAAAUAUGUAUACACAUCUAGGUAUAACUAAUAUAUAAUAUAUACUACUACAUAAUAAAUAAUAAUAUAUAAACAGGAUAUAUGUAUCUAUUGUAGGGAACUGGCUCACACACUUACGGAGGCUGAGAAGUCCUGACAUCCUCAAUGAGCAGCAACCUGGACACCCGGGAGAGCCAUUGUUGCAAUUCAGUCUGAGUCCAAGUCCAAAGGCAGGAGAAGACGGAUGGCCCAGCUCGGAGGCAAUCAGGCAAGAGGAACCCCUUCUUACUCAAGGGAGAGUCAGCCUUUUGUUCUGUUCCGGCUUUGGAUGAGGCCUGUCCUCAUCAGGGAGGGUAAUCUGCUUCGUGAACUAAAAUGUUAAUCUUAUGGAGAAACGCCCUUAUAGAAACGCUCAGAACAAUGUUUGGCCAAACAUACGGGCACCCUGUGGACCAGUCAGGUUGACACAUAAGAUCAGCCAUCACAACUAAGACCGUCACGUGGGGCAGGAUAGCAGGGUGUUGGCGUGUCGUGGCCUUAGAAGCCAGGAAUGAAUCCCUGCUCCAUCACUUGCUACAUUGAAAUCCUGAAAGUGACCGAAUGUGCAUGUGCCUCGGUUUACUCAUUACAAAAGUGUGGUUAACAAGGAUACCCAUCUCUUAGGGAUCGGGUGAGAAUUGCUUGAAUUCGAACUUAGAAUAAUUGGGUUUUAAGUAUUUCAUGUAGAUAAUUAUUAAAUUCACAUGAAAACAGUUACAUGACUGUUGUAAUACUCUCUUCACACAGGAUAAAGUAUAACUGGCCAGACUUGAGCUUUCCCAUUUAUGGCCAGGUCUCUGAUAUGCCUCCCUGAGAUUUCACUCCACUGACUUUGAUCCCGAGAAGAGUCACACGUUUCUAGACACAGCUCUGUAGGAUAUGAGCAGCUAACCUUGUCUGUCAUGUAUGGGUUUUGUGUGCUUAACCUGACAGGAUAAUUCUUUUUCUUUGGGUUUUACGGGUUGGGUUGUUCAGUGGCCGUAUGAGUAGCAUGAACCAGAUGUAGAAAUUCAAGGGAGCAAAAGUCAUUAGUGGCUGGGUGACCUGUCUUUAGAUGACUAGUAGCUUAAUCAGAAAUUAUUUGACCUGAAACUGUCUGUCUGAGGAAUGUCCAAGGGAUUUUUUUUAAUGGAGUUAUUUUUGAAAAGGGACUCUAAGAGAGUUUACUCUGAAGUUCCAUAGCAACGAAAAGCCUUUUUGAGGUUAAUAAUCAUUUUUUUUUAAGGUUUUAUUUAUUUUUGAGACAGAGCAUGAGCAGGGGAGGCACAGAGAGAGAGGGAGACAGAGAAUCCGAAGCAGGCUCCAGGCUCUGAGCUGUCAGCACAGAGCCCGAUGUGGGGCUCCAACCCACAAGCUGUGAGAUCAUGACCUGAGCCAAAGUCCGAUGCUCAGCCGACUAAGCCACGUUAAUAAUCAUUCUUAUCUGAAAUCACAUCCAAUCUGUACACUGUAACUCUUUCCCAGGGUGCACUUGAUCUUGGCCAACUAGCUUUGGUUCAUCUACCAUGAAAAGGAUGCUAAACACUACUUUCACCUUAAAUUCUUAAAAAAAAAUAAAAGAAGUUAAAGUUAAAAAAUGAAAAACCUCUAUCCUAAGUCUUUCUAAAAUCUACGCUUCUCAAAAAUCAUGGAGCCUGGUCUUAAACUUUAUAGAGGAGUCUAGAUCUUUGAGACUGACUUACAUCGGCAUAGGAAAAAAUACGACACAUAAAUGUUGCUUUCCUAAGUGAGCAGGUUAAAACAUUGAAACACAUUACCAAUUCAUUCUCGUAAAUAAUUUAAAAUCAACUAAAAACUAAUUAACUGGAUUUUUUUAAGAAGGAAGAGGGGCACCUGAGGGGCUCAGUCAGUUAAGCAUCUGAUGCUUGAUUUUGGCUCAGGUCAUGAUCUCACGGUUCAUGAGUUCGAGCCUGCAUUGGGCUCAGCUCUGAAAGUGCAGAGCCUGCUUGGGAUUCUCUCUCUCUCUCCCUCUCUCUGCCGCUACCCUGCUCGCACUCUCUCUCUCUCUCUCUCUCAAAAUAAGUGAGUAAACUUAAAAAACAUUUUUAAAAAAGGAGGAAAGUUAUGGCGCAGACCCUGAAGUCAGACUCUCAGGCCCAGGAUGUACUAUUUACUAAGUUCUGUCAGCCUCCCUGAGUGUCAUUUUAUUCCCAUGGAAUCUGAAAAAAUACAGUGUAUACUUCACAAGGUGUGGUGUAGUGACGAGGAAUAAAAAAAAAAAAUACAGUAUACAAAUGACUUAUCGUAAGAAACAGAGCAAGUACAUUUACAAGUGUUUCCUUUGUUUAUUUGCAAAACACCCUUUGUGUGGUACUUAUAAGGUCUAAGAUUAUAGUGAAUACAUAAAAAUUUUUAUGGGAAAUUUCUGUAGCUUUGGAUAAAGGUGCUAAGUCAAAUAGUCAAGAGAUGCCAGAAUUGAGUUUUGUAUCAGGAAUCUCAGGGGACUUUGUGAUGGAGACACAGUGGUGAUGUUGCAGAAUUAAAGUGAGGAGAGUGAACGAGGAAAUAUCUCAGGUUCCUCGCAUCUUCAAAAUUUGGAGUACAAUUCACCACCCACGGGGUUGUCCUAAUAGUUGCAAACCUUUCUCCUCUCUACAGCUUUGUCUGCAUUUUGACGAAUGGCCACUAGAGGGCAGGAGAACCAAACUGAAGCCCCCAGGCGGGUCUCCAAGAUUGGAACCGUGCCUAUUGGGGGGGAAUAUUCUCAACUAAUAGGGAACUUUUACCAUACACGUCUGUUUCCGAAGUAAAUAAAUCCAUCUCCACAAAGUCACCAAACAUUCCCAAGCUCGGGCGAAGCACAUUCUAAAUAGUCCUCUACUUGAUUUACAAUUUGUGAAUUUUUUUCUCUAUAUUUAUCUGUAAAUAACAGUAAGGCGAUUAUUUCUGAAAUGCUGUCUGUUAAAAAGUACAUGUUAACCCCAUGUUAUUGGCUCUUCUUAAAGAAAUACAAACUUCCAGUCAUAAAAUACAUGAUAAUAUUGUGAGAACGUUUGGUGACAGAUAAUGACUGUGCUUCAUCAUGGUGAACACUGAGGGAUGUGCAGGACCGUUGAGUCAGGUCGUACCCCUGAAACUAGUAUCACGCUGUAAGUUAACUAUGCUUCAAUGUAAAAAUCCCUCUUUCGGGGUGCCUGGGUGGCUCAGUCCGUUAGCCUCUGACUUCUACCCAGCUCAUGAUCUCACAGGUCAAGAGCUCAAGCCCCCUGUAGGGCUGUGUGCCUGGAGCCUGCUUGGGAGUCUGGGUCCCCCUCUCACUCUGCCCCUCCCCUUCUCCCGCUCUGUCUCUCUUUCUCUCUCAAAAAUAAACAUUAAAAACAUUUUCUUAAUAAAUUUUAAAAAAUAAAAAAU